AUGUGGACCGAUGAGCUCAGAGUUUCUAUGCAUAAUGUUGCUUUCCACUAUAUUUUAGCUAAUGUAGUUCAUGUGGCGUCUGGGGUCAGCUUUUGUCUCAUCUGUAUAUAUGGUGACCCCUAUCAUAAGCAGACUAAUGUCAUCUGGGACCAAGUGGAGUCUUUUGUUUAUGAUAACCUAGGUAAGCCCAUGGUUUGUAUGGGAGACUUGAAUGAUAUCCUGUAUGAAGUCGAUGGUUGUAAUGGCAAUAUCAACUACUACCGUAUGCAUGCUUUUCGUUCUAUUGUCAAGAACUGUGGCCUUUUUGACAUUGGUUAUAGUGGUCCUGCUUACACUUGGCGUGGUAGACAAAAUACUUCCAAGCCUAUUCAUCAUCGUCUAGAUCGUUGUUUGGUUAAUUCUGAUUGGUGUGCUCACUUUCCUAAUACUAAAGUGCUUAAUCUUCCCAUUAUUCUUAGUGACCAUGCGCCUAUUUUGAUUUGCACUGAUAGUCACUUUGCCAAGCCUAAGCAGUCUUUUAAAUUUGAAAAUUGGUGGCUUUCAGAAGAUGACUUCAACUUUUGCUAA
rnacentral:rRNA from 1 species